rnacentral:rRNA from 1 species
GACGUAGGGGGCCAGCGUUGCUCGGAAUUACUGGGUGUAAAGGGUUCGUAGGCGGUGUGGCAAGUCGGGAGUGAAAUCUCUGGGCUCAACCCAGAGUCUGCUUCCGAAACUGCUGUGCUUGAGUGUUGGGAGAGGCGCGUGGAAUUGCAGGUGUAGCGGUGAAAUGCGUAGAUAUCGGGAGGAACACCAGUGGCGAAGGCGACUUCCUGGCCUGUUCUUGACGCUGAGGCGCGAAAGCUAGGGGAGCAAACGGGG